rnacentral:tmRNA from 1 species
GUACUGGUCUCGACAGGGGUUCUGAAGCUGGUGAAGCGAGCCGCACGGGAUGUGUCAAAUUCUAAAAUUAAAUUUAAACGCUAGACGUAAUAAUUUAGCACUUGCAGCCUGAAUAAGGCAGCAGGAUCCGCCUGGAUGCACCCGCACAUUCAGAUACGGAUUCGAAAAUGCGGGAAACGGCUGUGCAUAAGCUUUGCUGCAUAGUACGUAAGAUGAAGCUACUGACACGGCAAGGAUGUCUGCUUUCGCGCCGCAGAGGGAAUGAUAAAUAACAGACUACGCUCGUAGAAGAACAGGGGAUGGAUUUCUGGACACGGGUUCGAUCCCCGUCUGGUCCA